CUUCCAGUAGCACCUUAGAGACCAACUAAGUUUGUUAUUGGUAUGAGCUUUAGAUGAAGAUGGGUGCAUGCACACAAAAUCUCAUACCAAUAACAAACUUAGUUGGUCUCUAAGGUGCUACUGGAAG